rnacentral:tRNA from 1 species
GUGGCAGAAAGGGUUAAGCACUCAGCUGCUAACUGAAAGGUUGGUGGUUUGAACCCACCC